GGCGACACUAUCUUAUAUCGGAAAAAUCAAACGGGAUUUACCGAAGCCUUCCGAUUGAUCUUCCGACGCGCACUUGCAAAAAAGAAGAAGGAACGCCAUUUUUUAAACUCAGUCAGAUACCUUUUUAUUCACAAUGGCAGACCGUGGACGGGAUGAUCCAGGCAAAUUUUUUGUUGGAAACCUUAGCUGGGAUACAGACAAUGACAGUUUAUGGAACUACUUCAGUCAUUAUGGGCAGCUGUCAGAUGCUGUUGUUAUCAUGGACAGACAAACCGGAAGGUCAAGAGGUUUUGGUUUUGUGACAUUCAGAGAUCCAAAAUGUGUGGACGAGGUAUUACAUCAAGAGCAACACGAAAUUGAUGGAAGACAGGUGCAAUAAAGGAGUAAAUGCCUGUUGCAGAGGACCGGGCAAGAACAGGGCAUGAGGUGGAAAGCUUUCUUUAUGUAUAAGCUUAACAGCAACACCUCAAUAAGUGUACAGAGUGAUGGAUCAGUGCCAGACCUUGCAAUAGCAGAUAGACUGUUUAUGGAAUUACAGUUAAAAACAAACUUAAAAUCAUGUGUAUUGACACCAAACUUGUGGUGUAUAUAAAUCUCUAUGAUUUGUAACUAUGUGUCAUUUGUUGUCUUGAAAAUUCCAUUUGUUUUUAAAUAUAAAAACUUCUCAUUUUAUACCAUUGCAUUGUGCACUUUGUAACAGUUAGAAUUUUUAUUUAAAAAUGUAAUGAUGAUAAUUAGUGUUUUUAACAUUGGAGCAAAGUUAUUAGUGUAUCCAAUCAAAUGGAUAAAUUAAAUAUUUAGAAAAUCAACAUUAAUUUCAUGUAUUUUAAUUGAUCACUCUCUUCGGAUGAAGUAUAUUAUAUAAAGUCUUUAAAACUA